GAUGAACGCUGGCGGCGUGCCUAAUACAUGCAAGUCGAGCGAACAGACGAGGAGCUUGCUCCUCUGACGUUAGCGGCGGACGGGUGAGUAACACGUGGAUAACCUACCUAUAGGACUGGGAUAACUUCGGGAAACCGGAGCUAAUACCGGAUAAUAUAUUGAGCCGCAUGGUUCAAUAGUGAAAGACGGUUUUGCUGUCACUUAUAGAUGGAUCCGCGCCGCAUUAGCUAGUUGGUAAGGUAACGGCUUACCAAGGCAACGAUGCGUAGCCGACCUGAGAGGGUGAUCGGCCACACUGGAACUGAGACACGGUCCAGACUCCUACGGGAGGCAGCAGUAGGGAAUCUUCCGCAAAGGGCGAAAGCCUGACGGAGCAACGCCGCGUGAGUGAUGAAGGUCUUCGGAUCGUAAAACUCUGUUAUUAGGGAAGAACAAAUGUGUAAGUAACUAUGCACGUCUUGACGGUACCUAAUCAGAAAGCCACGGCUAACUACGUG
rnacentral:rRNA from 1 species